GUGGGCGUAGCUCAGUUGGUAGAGCUCAGGAUUGUGAUUCCUGCGGUCGCGGGUUCAAUCCCCGUCGCCCACCCCA
rnacentral:tRNA from 2 species